rnacentral:rRNA from 1 species
UACGUAGGGUGCGAGCGUUGUCCGGAAUUAUUGGGCGUAAAGAGCUCGUAGGCGGUCUGUCGCGUCGGUCGUGAAAACUUGGGGCUUAACCCUGAGCUUGCGGUCGAUACGGGCAUGACUGGAGUUCGGCAGGGGAGACUGGAAUUCCUGGUGUAGCGGUGAAAUGCGCAGAUAUCAGGAGGAACACCGGUGGCGAAGGCGGCUUCCUGGCCUGUUCUUGACGCUGAGGCGCGAAAGC